AUUGAACGCUGGCGGCAGGCCUAACACAUGCAAGUCGAGCGGAGCGGCGGACGGGUGAGUACUGCCUAGGAAUCUGCAUGGUAGUGGGGGAUAAAGUCCGGAACCGGGCGCUAAUACCGCAUACUAUCAGAUAGACCUAGGUCGGAUUAGCGAGUUGGUGGGGUAAAGGCCUACCAAGGCGACGAUCCGUAACUGGUCUGAGAGGAUGAUCAGGAACACUGGAACUGAGACACGGUCCAGACUCCUACGGGAUGCAGCAGUGGGGAAUAUUGGACAAUGGGCGAAAGCCUGAUCCAGCCAUGCCGCGUGUGGGAAGAAGGUCUUCGGAGUGUAAAGCACUUUAAGUUGGGAGGCGUUACCAACAGAAUAAGCACCGGCUAACUUCGUGCCAGCAGCCGCGGUAAUUC
rnacentral:rRNA from 1 species